rnacentral:rRNA from 1 species
GCUUGUCUCAAAGAUUAAGCCAUGCAUGUCUAAGUAUAAAUGAUAUACAGUAAAACUGCGAAUGGCUCAUUAAAACAGUUAUAGUUUAUUUGGUAAUCGAAUUUACAUGGAUAACCGUGGUAAUUCUAGAGCUAAUACAUGCUGUAAAGCCCGACUUCUCGGAAGGGCCGUAUUUAUUAGACUUAAGCCAAUAUUCCUUGUGUCUAUUGCGAUGAUUCAUAAUAACUGAUCGAAUCUCAAAUUUGAGAUAAAUCAUUCAAGUUUCUGCCCUAUCAGCUUUCGAUGGUAGUGUAUUGGACUACCAUGGCAGUAACGGGUAACGAAGAAUUAGGGUUCGAUUUCGGAGAGGGAGCAUGAGAAACGGCUACCACAUCUAAGGAAGGCAGCAGG